UGAGACAUAGCAUAAGAUAAUGCAUUUCCCUUACACUGAGAUUAUGCCUAACACAAGGGCUGUCUUAA
rnacentral:tRNA from 1 species